GGGUCAGUAGGUUGGUCGUGCCACCGGUACGUACUGGUCUCACUGAUUCCUCCUUCCUGAAGAACCGUAAUGCCAUUAAUUUGGUGUUGCGGGGAAACAGGACUGUUACUUUGAAGAAAUUAGAGUGUUUAAAGCAAGCUAACGCUUGAAUACACUAGCAUGGAAUAAUGAAAUAGGACGAUCGAUCCUAUUUUGUUGGUUUCUAGGAUUGACGUA
rnacentral:rRNA from 1 species